UCUACCUUCGCUUCUUCUGAUGGGGAGUUGUCAGGGAGGUGGACAGCUGGGCAAGUUAAAUAACCUUUUGUUUAUAAAUCACAUUCUAUUAUAUCAGAAAUGAUUAUGUCUAGCCUGACAGAAGUUUGACAGGGUGAAGACUGUGGCGCCGGAGUUGAAGCCGAUCUAAGUUAUUUGAACAUGGCACACCGGUAAGAGUUCCAAUUCAAAUUCUUCCCUGAUAAGUUGUUUUGAUAAUGUUUGCUUUAUUUGACCAUCGCAGAGUUCAAUAUUAUAGAAUGUGUUUGUGUGUGUCAGUAGCCUUACAAAUAUGAAAAUCUGCAGACUGUAUGACACAGAUACAGGUAAGAAUAAAGUCAUCUUCUCGCUAACACUUUAAAAUGUUAGGGGUGGCAACUGGCCCUCAUCGGACCCUUCACGAAAUCCAGGAAUGGCAACAGCUGGUGUCUGAUGGCGAUCAAUUACUUUACCAAGUGGAUGGAGGCAAUACCCAUUACGGUAAGUAAAGGAAGAGUAUGUGCUCUAGUGACCGAGUUCAUGAACGCUGGAACCAGGUAAUGGAUGUUACAGGUUAUAUUCUGUCACCAAUGGUUUGUUUUAUUCAUUUUUUUACAAUUGUUUUUUGUUUUUCCAUGGUACACAAUCAGACAUAUUUAAAUAUCUUACAUUGUCAAUAGAUAUCGCUUUCCUACCCCCUCCAGGUUUGGUGAAUGGACCAACUAGACCCUCAAGACUGUCAUGGGCAAGUCCCUUGAUUGGUACCAGGAAGAUCACUGAAACCCCGCUUUAUGUGGUGGAAGUUGUCGAACCAGAUCAGAUUGCCUUUAAAGACCGCCUUCAAGCACGGACUGAGAACGAGGUUUUUGACCAGGUGAGACUGAACAUGGACAAGGCGCAGGAGAAACAGAAGGAGAGUUACCGGAGGAGAAUCAAGAAGGGGAUCAAGUGUUUCGACAUCCGGGAGAAUUACUUGGUUUGAAAGAAAGACGAAAGGAAGACGAGACCUGGGAAACCUCGCAGCUCUUUCACUGCUAGCUGGGGUCAUCAUCUGUUAAAACUUCUUAUGGCUGUGAAAUAGCCAGUGAAAGUGCAGGAUGACAAAUUCAAACAACAGAAAUCUCAGAAUUAAAAUUCCUCAAACAUACAAGUAUCUUAUACCAUUUAAUAAGGUAAUCUUGUUGUUAAUCCCACCAGAGUGUCCGAUUUCAAAAAGGCUUUACAGCGAAAGCACCACAAACGAUUAUGUUAGGUCACCGCCAAAUCACAGAAAAACAGCCAUUUUUCCAGCCAAAGACAGGAGUCACAAAAAGCAGAAAUAGAGAUAAAAUGAAUCACUAACCUUUGAUGAUCUUCAUCAGAUGACACUCAUAGGACUUCAUGUUACACAAUACAUGUAUGUUUUGUUCGGUAAAGUUCAUAUUUAUAUAAAAAAAUCUCAGUAUACAUUGGCGCGUUAUGUUCAGUAGUUCCAAAAACAUCCGUGAUUUUGCAGAGAGCCACAUCAAUUUCCAGAAAUACUCAUAAUAAACGUUAUACAUGGAAUUUUAGAUCCACUUCUCCUUAAUGCAACCGCUGUGUCAGAUUUCAAAAAAGCUUUACGGAAAAAGCAAACCAUGCAAUAAUCUGAGGUCGGCGCUCAGAGCCCAAUCAAGACAAAAAGAUAUCCGCCAUAUUGUGCAGUCAACAGAAGUCAGAAAUAACAUUAUAAAUAUUCACUUACCUUUGAUGAUCUUCAUCAGAAUGCACUCCCAGGAAUCUCAGUUCCACAAUAAAUGUUUGAUUUGUUCGAUAAUGUCCAUCAUUUAUGUCCAAAUAGCUACUUUUGUUAGCGUGUUUGGUAAACAAAUCAAAACUCACGAAGCGCGAUCAAUAAAUGCAGACGAAAUGUCAAAAAGUUCCGUUACAGUCCGUAGAAACAUGUCAAACGAUGUAUAGAAUCAAUCUUUAGGAUGUUUUUAACAUAAAUCUUCAACAAUGUUCCAACCGGACAAUUCCUUUGUCUUCAGAAAAAGCAAAUGGAACGGGAGCUACCUCUCAUGUGAAUGUGCGUGACCAGCUCCUGGCACUCUGCCAGACCUCUGACUCAAUCCCCUCUCAUUCAGCCCCUCUUUACAGUAGAAGCCUCAAACAAGUUUCUAAAGACGGUUGACAUCUAGUAGAAGCCUUAGAAAGUGCAACAUGACCAAUAUCCUACUGUAUCUUCAAUAGGGGCUGAGUUGAAAAUCGACCAACCUCAGAUUUCCCACUUCCUGGUUGGAUUUUUUCUCAGGUUUUUGCCUGCCAUAUGAGUUAUGUUAUACUCACAGACAUCAUUCAAACAGUUUUAGAAACGUCAGUGUUUUCUAUCCAAAUAUACUAAUAAUAUGCAUAUAUUAGCAACUGGGACUGAGGAGCAGGCAGUUUACUCUGUGCACCUCUGGGCACCUUAUUCAUCCAAGCUACUCAAUACUGCCCCCAGCCAUAAGAAGUUUUUAAAGUGAAUAUAAAACAUCUCAGAUAAUAACUAUUUGCAUUUGCACACAAAAUAACCUGAAGCUAGUUUUAGUUUCCCUAACACUGAUGUUUUUCUCUUUGUCUUCCUAGGGUUAUCUCGAUGGAAGCCUACAACCUUCUCCAGUUGUGGCAGUUGGACGGUCGACCACUGAAAGCCCUGACGCCCUACACUUCAGUGAAGCCUAAUAGACAAAAUAUGUUAAGCUUUGGUUGACAUUUGAGAAAGCAAGAAAUGGUAGUUAUGCUGAGCUUAUAAAAAUGUACCUCUUCAAUUUACCUCCAUGCCUUUAGGACCACCGACUGUCCGAGCCCCCUGGGAAGUGUCCCAUCCACCAGAACCAGUGAGUUUGGAUCAGUCUGAUUAUCUGUGCUCUGAGUCGUAGGGAGACCAGUUUGAGGAUCUCGGGGUUCUGCCCAACACCCAGACGUGGAUCCACCUGAUGUCCUCCAUUACUAACCACCCUUCAACGUUUCAUUACAUCAUCUACAGCUACUGUUGUCAUGACCUGCUAAGAACAUUUUCUUGCUCUAUCAUACUGGACACAUAAUAUGUGAGAUACACAGAUGAACUAAAAACACCAGCACUGCAAACACUCAGAACAAAGAGAGCAGCCUGGACUUUAUAGUCUCCCUCUUCUGAGACCGGCUGCUGUUGAGAACAAGUGACAAACAGAACCUCCCACCCACACAGCAACCACCUCCUCUAUAUUCCAAACACCAGAAUUCACUAUUUUAGUCUAUGAUUGCCAUGUGAGUGUACACAAUUUUUUUUUUCAAUAAAUGAAUGACACACCUGUACCAAAAAAGAUCAAAGUUUAUGUAUUAAAAUUUUAAAUACUGCCAGAUUUCA